GUCCACCUGAUGAGUUUCAAAUAGGACGAAACGCGCGUUCUGGAU
rnacentral:hammerhead_ribozyme from 1 species